AUGGAAAAUGAUUAUUUGCGGCAAAGUUCGAACCGCUUCCUGAACCAGUCACGUGGUACAGCCGGGCAGCGAGGCUUCGGACGUCAUCAUUUUCAGCUCCUCCCAUAAAUGAAGCAAGCCUCGAUACGCACUUCGCGGAAACGCCCCCUCCAUUACUCGAUACACGCUUCGAAGCCUCGAUACAGAACGUCACAUCACUACUUAGGUGGGAAACAUUGCUCCCGUGAGAGCGGUAUAGUGGACUUCAUCGCCACUGACCCACAUUUAUUAGGGUGUGACACGAACUUGUGGACAGAGUACCGAGCUGCUGCUUUGCCAGGUGGAUUUCUGGCUGCGGGCAAAGGACCCGACACUUCAGUGUGUUUUAAUUUGUUUUAAACUGGUGUAAGUCGACAGACUGACUGCUGCGACUGUCGAUUGUGGGUUUUUUUUUUUUUUUCUGUAUCAGUAGGCACCACAGAUAUUGAUUCUUUUAGUAUUCUAACUCCUUAUUUUAUAUUUAUAUAUAAAAUUAGUCGCAGACGGUGAAGGCGCUGCAGGGAAAACAAAUCCUUUUUUGUCUCCCGCUUUUGCAUGCACAGCGGUGGGCCUGAGUGAAGACGGCACCGAAGAUUUGCCUUCUUAUAGUGUUUUACCCAUGUGGGGUCAUGUGUGAGUUGCCGUCCAUUCUUAACCUGUGUGCUAUGUCGAUUUGUUUUUAAACGGUUCCCCGCAGCGCUUGUCCUGUCUCACGGGCAAUCGUACAGUUUUAUAGUUUCUAAUAAGGUAAAGUUUUUAAUUGUUUUUAGGUGCCGCUGUUAUACCGUUUCUUUUAUUUUGUACUAAAAAUUAAACUCUUUUAAACUGACUGUGCGCCUACGGCUCUGUCCUAUUUUAAAUAGGUACCUAUACCACGGGUCACAAUUAUUUCUACCUGUGAGUUUGGUUUCACUUCUAACAGAUAUUCUGCACACAUAUAAUCUAUAGCAAGUUUCUGUGUCCAGUUACAGCUUACUAAAUGCCAUAAUUUAUAAUCUAAUGAACUCUAAAGCAGGAUUCUACCUUAAAAUUCAACUCUCUCUUUAGAAAGUGUCAUUUGGUUUGGGUUAUGAAACCUGCUCUGUAAAGAGGACCGGGACGAAGAAGGUGUACUUUAUUGGUCCCCGUGGGGAAAAUCCCUCUCUGCAUUUAACCCAUUCACUCAGUGAAGCAGUGCAGCCACUGGGCGCCCGGGGAGCAGUGUGUAGGGACGGUACCUUGCUCAGGGGUACAUCAGGGUAGCUGUUCAGGGGAAUCGAACCCCCGACCUUCCGAUCAUGGGGCCACCUCUCUACCUACUGAGCUAUCCCUGCUCCCUUUUUUUUUUUUUUUUUUUUUUUUCUUUUUAAGAAGAAGACGUGUCCAUUAAAAUAACAUUAAUAAUAAACUGUAUAGUAAAAACAUGCACUAGUAUUCAUUCACCAACCACUUCAUUUCGUUUUAUUUGAAUUCAUGAUGAAGUUAUUAUUAUUGAUUAUUAUUAUUUGAUCACUAUUUUGUAAUUUGAUUUUCUGAGUCGUUUAGUAUCUUGUUUCGGAGGCUUCUUAGUAUAAUGUUAAAAUAUUAAAUGUUACAGUUACCACCAACAUCAGGCCCUGUCAUAUUUGUUACUGUUACAGGAAAAAUGAUUCUAUGUUUCUUUACCUUCUUUUAAAUGUGCAAGCAUGCCCUUUUGUCUAUGGUUAGAUUCGUUUAGAAUUAUCUUUUUAGACUUUCUCAGCAAAGACAUACUGUUUUGGGACAUAUUGUUUUAGAUUGUUUUAUCUCUCACAGCUUUCUCCCAGCUCUCUGCUGACGAGACUAGCGCCACAUAUGGAGUUGUUUAUUUUAUUUGUUUUGUAUUUUCUUAUCCUGUUCUCACUGUGUUUCCUAUAAAAAAGUGCCAAGCCUCUGUACACGACGUGAGUUGUUCUGAACAGCUCACCGGUGCGCACGUUAAAGCAUAAAAAGUAACCUUGUCUCAUUGUGUCUUUAUUUCUCCUGGGUCUUUUACAGAGUUUUCCCCCAACAG
ensembl:lncRNA